rnacentral:rRNA from 1 species
AUGGAAAAAUUCUCUUGGGUGUGGUUGGGGCAGCAAACUGGUUGUGGCCGAACUGGAGAUGGAGCUAUAACCGCAUCGAAUGAGUGGUGGAAAAAAGUAAUUAAGGAGAGACCAGAUGUCAGAAAAUUCAAGGGUGGCAAUCCUGAGUAUUUGGAUAUGCUAAUAGAGCUAUUUCAAGGUGUGGCAGUUGAUGGAUCAUCAGCUUAUGUGCCCAUAGAUGAAGAUGAAGAAGAAGAUGUUGUUGCCGAUGAUGGAAAUGAGGAGAGUCCAAUGAGCACCACCAGCAGGAAGAGGGGAAGCAGCUACGGUGAACAGUCAGCUUCAAGCCCAGGCAAGAAACACAAGAGCCCAAUGGUGAAACUAAUGACAGGGCUCAUCAAUACUAUGACUAGUGAGAACACUUCUGACAUGAUCACUGAAUAUGCAAACAAAAGACAGGAAGCAAAGGACAAGGCAAAAGAGAAGAAAGCAAACAACACUAAGGAAUCCAUUACUCAUUGUCAACUGUUGGCAGUUCAAUGUGGUGCAGAAGAAACAAGUGUUGAGUACUUCAUGGCAACUCAACUAUUUGCAGAUGAGGCAAACAGAGUCAUAUUUCAGAACAUUUCAAGUGAUCAGGCUAGACUGACUUGGUUGAAGAGGUGGUGCAUGAUGAAGAAGCUGUCCUAG